CCUACGGGUGGCAGCAGUGAGGAAUAUUGGUCAAUGGGCGCAAGCCUGAACCAGCCACGCCGCGUGAGGGAAGAAGGCUUUCGGGUUGUAAAACUCUUUUCGCAGGGACGAAACAAGUGACGGUACCUGAGCAAUAAGCCGCAGCUAACUACGUGCCAGCAGCCGCGGUAAUACGUAGGGGGCAAGCGUUAUCCGGAAUUCGUGGGUGUAAAGGGCGUGUAGGCGGGAAAGCAAGUCUGGUGUGAAAGUUGAGGGGCCAAACCCCUGCCUGCCAUUGAAACUGUUUCUCUUGAGUGCAGGAGAGGUAAUCGGAAGUCGUGGUGUAGCGGUGAAAUGCAUAGAUAUAAGGAGGAACCCCAGUGGCGAAGGCGGCUUGCUGGCUUGCAACUGACGCUGAGGCGCGAAAGCGUGGGGAUCAAACAGGAUUAGAUACCCGGGUAGUC
rnacentral:rRNA from 1 species